AGGGUUCUAAGGGGGCUCUCUCUCGCUCCAACAUUGAGGGGAGAUGAACGGUAGACACAGCUGCUAGUUCAUGGAUACCCUUAUCCAGGUUAAGGAUGGAUACACAUGUAUCAUCGAGAUCAAGCGGGAUUGUUAAUUGAGUUAGUCAUGGUUACGAUAAUGUAUCCCAAUUUCCGGGCACUGGAAUAAGGGUUUGCAUGAGCUAGGAGAUGAGGUUACCUUGAUCCUUUUGGUAUUGGAGUGAAGGGAGCUCCUCAACUCUCUUCU
rfam:Punica granatum cultivar Dabenzi scaffold40, whole genome shotgun sequence.